rnacentral:lncRNA from 1 species
GGAGGGACAAUGCACACAGACCCACAGGUGCACCUCACAAGUGCAUCUCCUCCAAAUAACAAUGAGAUGUUAUUCAGUCUGUAAGGAUGAACCUGGAGACCAUUAUGCUGAGUGAAACAAGCCAGACGUGGAAAGGCAAUUACCACGUGAUCUCUCUUAGGCUUGGACUAUAAAAGUGUCCAACUAACAAAAGCUGAUGGGGUACACUGGGGCUAGCAGCCAGGGGAGAUACUGGCCAAGGGUGCAAACUUGCAGCUAUGGUGCGAUGAAGUUCUGGAGACCCAGGGUGCAGCGUGGUGACUGCGGCUGCAAUCAUUUCUUGAAUUUUGCUAAGAGGAUAGAUCUCAAGUGGUCUCGUCACACAUGCAGGGAUACGUUCAUCAGCUUGAUUGGGGUAAUUAUGUCACAAUAUACACAUAUUUGAAUUUCACACUGUACACUCUAAAUAAGUGUGAUUUUUAUUUUUUGAUCAUCUCAG